rnacentral:rRNA from 1 species
AACGAACGCUGGCGGCAUGCCUAACACAUGCAAGUCGAACGAAGCCUUCGGGCUUAGUGGCGCACGGGUGCGUAACGCGUGGGAAUCUGCCCUUGGGUUCGGAAUAACAGUUAGAAAUGACUGCUAAUACCGAAUGAUGUCUUCGGACCAAAGAUUUAUCGCCCAAGGAUGAGCCCGCGUCGGAUUAGCUAGUUGGUGAGGUAAAGGCUCACCAAGGCGACGAUCCGUAGCUGGUCUGAGAGGAUGAUCAGCCACACUGGGACUGAGACACGGCCCAGACUCCUACGGGAGGCAGCAGUGGGGAAUAUUGGACAAAUGGGCGAAAGCCUGAUCCAGCAAUGCCGCGUGAGUGAUGAAGGCCUUAGGGUUGUAAAGCUCUUUUACCCGGGAUGAUAAUGACAGUACCGGGAGAAUAAGACCCCGGCUAAACUCCGUGCCAGCAGCCGC